rnacentral:rRNA from 1 species
GACGUAGGGGGCCAGCGUUGCUCGGAAUUACUGGGCGUAAAGCGCGUGUAGGCGGGUCUUUAAGUCAGGGGUGAAAUGCCAGGGCUCAACCUUGGAACUGCCUUUGAUACUGGAGACCUUGAGUCCGGGAGAGGUGAGUGGAAUUGCGAGUGUAGAGGUGAAAUUCGUAGAUAUUCGCAAGAACACCAGUGGCGAAGGCGGCUCACUGGCCCGGAACUGACGCUGAGACGCGAAAGCGUGGGGAGCAAACAGG